CCCAAUCCCUAUCCCUGUUUGACAAUCCUUAUACACUCUCCCCCACCGCAUCCUUAACUCAGCCAUGAAUCCAGUAAACCAAACCUUCAUCUAUGAGAAGAUCUCACCUCUCACAUUCUCUCCUGUCCUUGCUUGCAUCGCCGUCUCGGUCUCUUCAAGCUGUUUAUCACGUCGCCAACUCUACCCGCGUGGUCGUCAUUAGUUCCGGCCUGCUGCUCGCCGGUCCUCUCUUCUCCAAUACAGGUGCAGGUGCUCAGAAGUGAGUUUUGGUUCAUCUGAGAGAUGGCGAAGAUCUUAUAUACACUCUACUUUAUAUUUUGCUUAGAAUAUCUCCACCUUUAUUUUGAAAAGCUUGUAUUAUGUAUUGAACUCUGUUGAAUUUGCCUAUAGAGGCUUUCAUGUUUUAUUUGGGAGAGAUUAGGAAGUACUAUUGUCAACUACUUACAUACUGUACCCUAGCCGGCCUAAACUUUGCGGGUUGCGGCUAGUGGCUAUUUACUUAUGUUAUAUAUCUAUAUACUGUACUUCUCCUA